UUAUGGGAGCACUCAGUGGGAUUUUGUCUUUAAUUUUAAUUUUGUAGCCUGGCCACAACACUGGCCAAUUAAUUUAGGCUCAUAAAAAUUAAGACCUCUUUAAGUCCUUGGUUAGACUUAUCUGGGGAAAUCUUAUUAAAACCACACUUCCACCGCUGAAAUAAAAUGUGCUCACCAAUUUCUGUAUCUUAGACCAGUUUUUUCCCUAGGGAGAAGAUAAUCUAAAAAAUUCCAUAUUCCUACUCCCUGGCUUAAGUCUGUUUUCAACAGUUUUAUUCAUAGAGAGAAGAAAUAUACUGCUGUAAAAAAAAUUGGCAACGAUGGAGGAAAGCAUCUGCAAAACACACAAGAAGCAAAAAAAGGCUGGUGCUGACAAGUUCACCCAAGACAAUCAAGUAUAAGUUAUUGCUUUAACAACAUAGCCCUGAACGUGGGGCAGGGCAGAAUUACAUCACCUAAAGAGGAGCAUCUGAAAGAUUUUUCUUCUCCAAGCACAAAUCCUAAAGUCAUUUCUCCCUGAGAAGGAAGGUUGGUAGACUUUACCCUUGUGACUUGAUGGCCCAGCAUUCCUGGCAUAUUUAGAUACCAGAUACAUCAGAUAUCAGCUAAAGAAAAACAAAACAAAAAAACAGACGGGACAGUCACAUGUAAUAUAUAUUUGUGCAGUAUCUCACAGUGAGUUUAUCACUACAGUCUCCCUCCUUCAGCUGCCAUCCUUCUGAUCUCCAACAGCCUGAUCCUACUCCACUGCUAAAUAUGCUGUAU
rnacentral:lncRNA from 1 species